rnacentral:tRNA from 5 species
CGGGGUGUAGCUCAGGUGGCAGAGCGUUGGCUUUGGGAGCCAAAGGCCGCAGGUUCAAGUCCUGCCACCCCGA